rnacentral:rRNA from 1 species
CCGACGGUGAGAGACGAAGCCUAGGGGCACGAACCGGAUUAGAUACCCGGGUAGUCCUAGGUGUAAACGCUGUGGACUUGAUGUUGGGGGUGCUCCGAGCACUCUCAGUGUCGAAGCGAAGGUGAUAAGUCCACUGCCUGGGAAGUACGGUCGCAAGGCUGAAACUUAAAGGAAUUGGCGGGGGAGCACCGCAACCUGAGGAUUGUGCGGUUUAAUUGGAUUCAACGCCGGAAAACUCACCAUAGCCGACGGACAAAUGAAGGUCAGUGUAAUGAACUUACCGGAUUGUUCGAGAGGUAGUGCAUGGCCGCCGUCAGUUCGUACCGCAAGGCGUUCUGUUAAGUCAGAUAACGAACGAGACCCUCAUCUCUAUUUGCUAACUGGAUCUCCGGAUCCAGUGCACUAUAGGGAGACCGCUGGCGCUAAGUCAGAGGAAGGGGAGGGCAACGGUAGGUCAGUAUGCUCCGAAUGCUAUGGGCUACACGCGCAAUACAAAGGACAGGACAAUGGGCUGCUGCUCCGAAAGGAAUGAUAGCUAUCCCGAAACCUGUUCGUAGUUCGGAUUGAGGGCUGUAACUCGCCCUCAUGAAGCUGGAUUAGGUAGUAAUCGCGUCUCAAAAAGGCGCGGUGAAUAUGCCCCUGCUCCUUGCACACACCGCCCGU